CUCAAUGAGAUUCAAUAGCCGCAAUAUUUUGUGCUAAGGUAGCAUAAUCAUUUGUUUUUUAAUUAAAAACUAGAACGAAAGAUUUAACAUUUUUAUUUCUUUCUUAUAUACAACUAUUAAAUUUAUUUUAAAUAUUAAAAAAUAUUUAUUUAUUAAGUAGACAAUAAGACCCUAUCGAACUUAACUAAAGUUAAACUGGGGCAGUGAAUUAAAAACAAUUUUAAUUUAAAUUAAAAAAAUAACCUAAUAAAAUUAAAAUAUCAAGUUACCAUAGGGAUAACAGCGUAAUAAUUUUCCUAAGUUCUUAUUUAAAAAAUUGUUUGCGACCUCGAUGUUGAAUUAAUAAUCUAUUAAAUGCAAUAACUUAAUAAGAAAGUCUGUUCGACUU
rnacentral:rRNA from 1 species